AGUGAACGCUGGCGGUAGGCCUAACACAUGCAAGUCGAGCGGCAGCACAGUAAGAGCUUGCUCUUACGGGUGGCGAGUGGCGGACGGGUGAGGAAUACAUCGGAAUCUACUUUUUCGUGGGGGAUAACGUAGGGAAACUUACGCUAAUACCGCAUACGACCUACGGGUGAAAGCAGGGGGUCUUCGGACCUUGCGCGAUUGAAUGAGCCGAUGUCGGAUUAGCUAGUUGGCGGGGUAAAGGCCCACCAAGGCGACGAUCCGUAGCUGGUCUGAGAGGAUGAUCAGCCACACUGGAACUGAGACACGGUCCAGACUCCUACGGGAGGCAGCAGUGGGGAAUAUUGGACAAUGGGCGCAAGCCUGAUCCAGCCAUACCGCGUGGGUGAAGAAGGCCUUCGGGUUGUAAAGCCCUUUUGUUGGGAAAGGAAAGCAGCAGGUUAAUACCCCGCUGUUCUGACGGUACCCAAAGAAUAAGCACCGGCUAACUUCGUG
rnacentral:rRNA from 1 species